GUGAGGAAUAUUGGUCAAUGGAGGCAACUCUGAACCAGCCAAGUCGCGUGAAGGAAGACUGCCCUAAGGGUUGUAAACUUCUUUUGUAAGGGAAUAAAGUGUAGUACGUGUACUAUUUUGCAUGUACCUUACGAAUAAGGAUCGGCUAACUCCGUGCCAGCAGCCGCGGUAAUACGGAGGAUCCGAGUGUUAUCCGGAUUUAUUGGGUUUAAAGGGUGCGCAGGCGGAAGAUUAAGUCGGCGGUGAAAUUUUGCAGCUCAACUGUAAAAGUGCCUUCGAAACUGGUUUUCUUGAGUGUAGAUGAAGUAGGCGGAAUUUGUGGUGUAGCGGUGAAAUGCUUAGAUAUCACAAAGAACUCCGAUUGCGCAGGCAGCUUACUAAACUACAACUGACGCUCAGGCACGAAGGCGUGGGUAUCGAACAGGAUUAGAAACCCUAGUAGUCC
rnacentral:rRNA from 1 species